UACGUAGGGCGCAAGCGUUGUCCGGAAUUAUUGGGCGUAAAGAGCUCGUAGGCGGCUUGUCACUUCGAUUGUGAAAGCCCGAGGCUUAACCUCGGGUCUGCAGUCGAUACGGGCUAGCUAGAGUGUGGUAGGGGAGAUCGGAAUUCCUGGUGUAGCGGUGGAAUGCGCAGAUAUCAGGAGGAACACCGAUGGCGAAGGCAGUUCUCUGGGCCGUAACUGACGCUGAGGAGCGAAAGCGUGGGGAGCGAACAGG
rnacentral:rRNA from 1 species